GUAAGCAGAACUGGCGCUGCGGGAUGAACCGAACGUUGAGUUACGGCGCCUGAUUAUAAACGCUCAUCAGAUACCACAAAAGGUGUUGGUUGCUAUAGACAGCAGGACGGUGGCCAUGGAAGUCGGAAUCCGCUAAGGAGUGUGUAACAACUCACCUGCCGAAGCAACUAGCCCUGAAAAUGGAUGGCGCUCGAGCGUUUANCCUAUACUCAACCGUUGUGGCACACGCUACGGUCAUAUAAUAUAUAUCCGUAUUUGAUGCUGUAAGGCAUAAGCGUGCUAGUCAUGCCUCAACGAGUAGGAGGGCNGUAGCGAUAUGCUUGGAAGGCUUAACGGGCGUAAGCCGGGCUGGAGCUCGGUGGUCCAAUCUGGUGGUAGUAGCAAAUACUCAAGCGAGAACCUUGAGGACUGAAGUGGAGAAGGCUUCCAUGUGAACAGCAGUGAACAUGGGUUAGUCGAUCUUAAGGCAUCGGCGAAGGCCGUUCAGAAGCGGUGUCGGUUUUAGUGGCAAAAACGUGCAGAACUUGUUUUUGUGCGCUUUUGUGCUCGGCUUUAGGUGCUUGCUCACUCUAAAGUCGCCGCACCUGCCGAAAGGGAAUUGGAUUAAUAUUUCCAAACCUAACAGCGGAGAUUGGUUGCUCAUUAGGCUGUUGCAGGACUUUAUUGCUCUUGUAGCAGUCGGGGUAACGCGCUGCGGUAACGCAAACGAACUCGGAUACGCUGACUGGAGUCCCGGGUUGUCUUUUUUUCAUAAGGAAUCGACUCCAUGGAAUUGGUUCAGCCAGAGAUAUGGAGAUGAUGUCCGAAAAGCAUCGCGCUUCUUGCGAUGUCCGGUGCGCUUCAAGCGGCCCAUGAAAUGCCGAGGGAGAGAAUGAUUUUCGUGUUAGAUCGUACCCAUAUCC
rnacentral:rRNA from 1 species